UGAAGCUCAAAUCUGUUUAAAGUAUGCUUCGUGGGCUUUGAUACACCGAUAAUCUUAUAUUUUACUGUGCAGGAAAACGUGGUGGCAGUAAGAGAUUUCUACUUUCUAGUCACUGGGUGGCAAUAAAAUCAAAGUGAAGAAUUUAUCUCCUAGGAGUGGAACCAAGCACAGCCAAUUUCCUUCCCCUCUUCAGCUUGGUACCCCACGGUUCCUCAAAACUAGGUUCUGGGCCCACAUGUUUCAAAUCGUUGCGCUAACGUGAGUGAGAAUUCAUAUCCUAUAGAAGCUAAGUGUAUUAAGUAGUAAACCAGAAGGUUUUAAUUUUAAACAGUGAGUCAAAUUGAAAUGGGAAUUUUAUGACACAUUAUAUGCUUGACAGAUGAAGCAUAUUUGUGUAAGCAACAUAACUAUGGAGUAUUGUAUAGAGAGAGUAAUAUUAAUGAAAUUAAAUAUUCAUGUCUGGUUUUGUCCACAAGACAAGGAAAACAUGAUAUUUAUUGACCACAGAUAAUUCUUCACCUUUAUCAAUCCUCAUAUUCAAAAUGUCUGAAACUGCUAUUUCUUUUGAAAGUUCGGUUCCAUGUGGAAUAAAAACACAUGUGGCACCAUUUCUGUCAUCAGGAAAUCUCAGUCCUCCCAGAAUUAAAUUAAAACAUAAUCGGAUGAUGAAAUAGAACUGAGCCCCCUUUGAAAGGAGUUGGAAACCAGAGAAGAAUCUCCUAGAGGAGGAGUCCACUCUUCUGCAACCUCCUUUUUGCUGAUCAUGACUUGGACUGUUGUACGAGAUGUUGAAUUCAGUUUCUCCCAUUGAUUGGUUCAACCUCUCAGCUGCUGCUGUGGGUCUGAGCCACGGCCAGGUUGGAGUGGUUCUGUGAGUUGGGAGGAUCUCUCAGCCUAGACUGGCAAUUGCAGGCAGAAAUAGAAUGGGACCCACCCAUGUCAACUACACAUUGUCUAGUAGCUCUAUGGUAAAAAGAAACAAGUCAAAAAUCAAAUCAUUGUAAUGGGCAAAAUGGUACCACUUCAACGUGUAUUUGAUUUCAAAAAUACAUUGUUUUUAAAACCUCAACAAGAAAGUUUCUUCUUCUUCUUCUUCUUCUUCU